CUUUGAUAUUUCAGGGAUCUACAUAACAACAAGUUGACUGGUCCAAUCCCUCCACAAAUUGGACGACUGAAACGGCUGAAAGUACUG
rnacentral:sRNA from 1 species